rnacentral:rRNA from 1 species
AAAGGAAUAGACGGGGGCCCGCACAAGCGGAGGAACAUGUGGUUUAAUUCGAUGAUACGCGAGGAACCUUACCUGGGCUUAAAUGUAGAGUGCAUGUUGUGGAAACACACUUCCCUUCGGGGCUCUUUACAAGGUGCUGCAUGGUUGUCGUCAGCUCGUGCCGUGAGGUGUCGGGUUAAGUCCCAUAACGAGCGCAACCCCUAUCGUUAGUUGCCAUCAGGUUAAGCUGGGAACUCUAACGAGACUGCCACCGUAAGGUGAGAGGAAGGUGGGGAUGACGUCAAAUCAGCACGGCCCUUAUGUCCAGGGCUACACACGUGUUACAAUGGUCGGUACAAAGGGCAGCUACAUCGCGAGGUGAUGCUAAUCUCUAAAGCCGGUCUCAGUUCGGAUCGGAGUCUGCAACUCGACUCCGUGAAGUUGGAUUCGCUAGUAAUCGGAUAUCAGCCAUGAUCCGGUGAAUACGUUCCCGGGCCUUGUACACACCGCCCGU